GGGGAUGUGGCUCAGUGGUAGAGCGCUUGCCUGGCAUGAUGAGGCCCUGGGUUCAAGUCCUAGCACUGCAA
rnacentral:tRNA from 1 species